rnacentral:rRNA from 1 species
CAGCCGCGGUAAUACGGAGGGUGCAAGCGUUAUCCGGAUUUAUUGGGUUUAAAGGGUCCGUAGGCGGAUCUGUAAGUCAGUGGUGAAAUCUCACAGCUUAACUGUGAAACUGCCAUUGAUACUGCAGGUCUUGAGUGUUGUUGAAGUAGCUGGAAUAAGUAGUGUAGCGGUGAAAUGCAUAGAUAUUACUUAGAACACCAAUUGCGAAGGCAGGUUACUAAGCAACAACUGACGCUGAUGGACGAAAGCGUGGGGAGCGAACAGGAUUAGAUACCCUGGUAGUCCACGCCGUAAACGAUGCUAACUCGUUUUUGGUUUUUCGGAAUCAGAGACUAAGCGAAAGUGAUAAGUUAGCCACCUGGGGAGUACGUUCGCAAGAAUGAAACUCAAAGGAAUUGACGGGGGCCCGCACAAGCGGUGGAUUAUGUGGUUUAAUUCGAUGAUACGCGAGGAACCUUACCAAGGCUUAAAUGGGAAAUGACAGGUUUAGAAAUAGACUUUUCUUCGGACAUUUUUCAAGGUGCUGCAUGGUUGUCGUCAGCUCGUGCCGUGAGGUGUUAGGUUAAGUCCUGCAACGAGCGCAACCCCUGUCACUAGUUGCCAUCAUUAAGUUGGGGACUCUAGUGAGACUGCCUACGCAAGUAGAGAGGAAGGUGGGGAUGACGUCAAAUCAUCACGGCCCUUACGCCUUGGGCCACACACGUAAUACAAUGGCCGGUACAGAGGGCAGCUACACAGCGAUGUGAUGCAAAUCUCGAAAGCCGGUCUCAGUUCGGAUUGGAGUCUGCAACUCGACUCUAUGAAGCUGGAAUCGCUAGUAAUCGCGCAUCAGCCAUGGCGCGGUGAAUACGUUCCCGGGCCUUGU